rnacentral:rRNA from 1 species
GUCUACUGCAAUCCUACUUUGAACAAGCCCGAUUCUGUCUGAUCUUGGAAACUAAGCAGGGUCGGGCCUGGUUAGUUCUUAGAUGGGAGACCACCUAGGAAGACCAGGUGCUGUAGGCG